AAGUCGUAACAAGGUUUCCGUAGGUGAACCUGCGGAAGGAUCAUUACAGUGUUCUCUGCCCUCGCGGGUAGAAACGCCCACCCUUGUAUAAUUUAUCUUGUUGCUUCGGGAGGCCGCCUUCGGGCACCGGCUUCGGCUGGACCGCGCCUGUCAAAGGACCCUAAACUCUGAAAUGUUAAGGUGUUGUCUGAGUCCCAUAUAAAUAGUUAAAACUUUCAACAACGGAUCUCUUGGUUCUG
rnacentral:misc_RNA from 1 species